rnacentral:rRNA from 1 species
CGCCCGCCGCGCGCGGCGGGCCUACGGGAGGCAGCAGUGGGGAAUAUUGCACAAUGGGCGCAAGCCUGAUGCAGCCAUGCCGCGUGUGUGAAGAAGGCCUUCGGGUUGUAAAGCACUUUCAGCGGGGAGGAAGGCGGUGAGGUUAAUAACCUCACCGAUUGACGUUACCCGCAGAAGAAGCACCGGCUAACUCCGUGCCAGCAGCCGCGGUAAUA